GCUCUCUUCAUCCAAUCGGUAAGGAUGUACGACUUAUAAUCGUAUCAUAGAGGUUCAAAUCCCCUAGAGAGUACCA
rnacentral:tRNA from 1 species